rnacentral:rRNA from 1 species
AACCAUGCAAGUCGAGCGGAUGACGGGAGCUUGCUCCUUGAUUCAGCGGCGGACGGGUGAGUAAUGCCUAGGAAUCUGCCUGGUAGUGGGGGACAACGUUUCGAAAGGAACGCUAAUACCGCAUACGUCCUACGGGAGAAAGCAGGGGACCUUCGGGCCUUGCGCUAUCAGAUGAGCCUAGGUCGGAUUAGCUAGUUGGUGAGGUAAUGGCUCACCAAGGCGACGAUCCGUAACUGGUCUGAGAGGAUGAUCAGUCACACUGGAACUGAGACACGGUCCAGACUCCUACGGGAGGCAGCAGUGGGGAAUAUUGGACAAUGGGCGAAAGCCUGAUCCAGCCAUGCCGCGUGUGUGAAGAAGGUCUUCGGAUUGUAAAGCACUUUAAGUUGGGAGGAAGGGCAGUAAGCUAAUACCUUGCUGUUUUGACGUUACCGACAGAAUAAGCACCGGCUAACUCUGUGCCAGCAGCCGCGGUAAUACAGAGGGUGCAAGCGUUAAUCGGAAUUACUGGGCGUAAAGCGCGCGUAGGUGGUUCGUUAAGUUGGAUGUGAAAGCCCCGGGCUCAACCUGGGAACUGCAUCCAAAACUGGCGAGCUAGAGUACGGUAGAGGGUGGUGGAAUUUCCUGUGUAGCGGUGAAAUGCGUAGAUAUAGGAAGGACCACCAGUGGCGAAGGCGACCACCUGGACUGAUACUGACACUGAGGUGCGAUAGCGUGGGGAGCAAACUGGAUUAGAUACCCUGGUAGUCCACGCCGUAACGAUGUCAACUAGCCGUUGGAAUCCUUGAAAUUUUACUGGCGCAGCUACGCAUAAGUUGACCGCCUGGAGAGUACGGCCGAAGGAUAAAAC